rnacentral:tRNA from 1 species
GGGGUUGUGGCUCAAGCAGCAGAGCGCUUGCCUAGCAUGCAUGAGGCACUGGGUUCAAUCCUCAGCACCACA